GUGUUGGCUUCGGCAGCACACACACUAAAAUUGGAAUGACACAGAGAAGACAAGAAUGGACCCUGAGGGGUGGGAUGAAAAAAAAAAAAAAAAAAGAAUGGUCCCUGAGCAAGGAUGACGCAAAUUCAUGAAGAGUGCUUUAUUUUU
rnacentral:snRNA from 1 species